UACAGAGGGUGCAAGCGUUGUCCGGAAUCACUGGGCGUAAAGGGCGCGUAGGCGGCCUGAUAAGUCGGGGGUGAAAUUCUGCGGCUUAACCGCAGGACGGCCUUCGAGACUGUCGGGCUUGAGCACGGUAGAGGCUGGUGGAAUUCCGGGUGUAGCGGUGGAAUGCGUAGAGAUCCGGAAGAACACCGGUGGCGAAGGCGGCCUGCUGGGCAGUGGCUGACACUGAGGCGCGACAGCGUGGGGAGCAAACAGG
rnacentral:rRNA from 1 species